GGUCCUACGGGACGCAGCAGUGAGGAAUAUUGGUCAAUGGGCGCAAGCCUGAACCAGCCAAGUCGCGUGAGGGAUGACGGUCCUAUGGAUUGUAAACCUCUUUUGUCGGGGAGCAAGGCCCGCCACGUGUGGCGGGAAGGAGAGUACCCGAAGAAAAAGCAUCGGCUAACUCCGUGCCAGCAGCCGCGGUAAUACGGAGGAUGCGAGCGUUAUCCGGAUUUAUUGGGUUUAAAGGGUGCGCAGGCGGAGGUGCAAGUCAGCGGUCAAAUUGCGGGGCUCAACCCCGUACUUCCGUUGAAACUGCA
rnacentral:rRNA from 1 species